AGCACAUACAGAAAAUGUGUUGAAGCUAUGAGAAACAAUACCCUUAUAUGCAAUAAACGGGGCGAAUGGCACGUCUUGUACUGGUUGUUGCGUCGGACACUUAUGUAACAAGAAUGAUUUCAUUGGCAGGACCAAAUCCUUCGUAUUUCGUUUUAUUUUAAAAAAGUUCAACGAAUAUAAAAUCCCUGCUGAGAACAUAUCAAGAGCCAUGGAGCAUGAGCUUUUAAGCGUGACGGGGAAAUCCAGAGUUGAAAUCUGUGGCUCAUGCAGAAUUAAAAUAUUUGCUAUUUACUGUACAGUAUUUAGCGAAAUGACUGAAAGUCAACUGCGGCGCAAUAUCUCCCAAGUUUUGUACAAAUCCCAGGCUUUGCUUAACCUAGGUGUUCCGCAAAGUCACAUGACGUUCAUUGACGAAAGUUCAAGUACUGGUAAUGGAACAGAGGAUAGAACAACAGAAACAAACUUUUGAGUGAAAAUCGAAAAAGAGCCUCCAAGAAUCGUCUUUGAUGAUAUUUUAUGCUAUAAAACGAUAUUUUCUGCAUAUAUAAUACAAAAUAAAAUUUUCUCCAUAUAUAAUAUGAAAUAAAAUUUUCUCCAUAUAUAAUAUAAAAUUAUAUUUUCUUAAUAUAUAAUAUAAAAUAAUAUUUUCUGCAUAUAUAAUAUAAAAUAUUUUUUCUUUGUAACGACACUAUAAUUGUACGUUUCAAUACAACACUAUGCAUGCAAGAGACUGUAUAAUCCACCAUGAUGUAAUUUAAACGAGUUUCAGGGCCUCACUAUGGCUUGAAACAGAAUAUAUUGCAUGAUUUGAAAUUAUAUUGAUAUUCUAUCUUCUUGCCAAUUUAAUAUAAUCAAUGUAAGCUUUAGAAUUGUUAAAUAAAGGAUUAAAUCUGA